rnacentral:rRNA from 1 species
GAUGAACGCUAGCGGGAGGCCUAACACAUGCAAGCCGAGCGGUAGAGUCUCUUCGGAGACUUGAGAGCGGCGCACGGGUGCGGAACACGUGUGCAACCUGCCUUUAUCUGGGGGAUAGCCUUUCGAAAGGAAGAUUAAUACCCCAUAAUAUACUGGAUGGCAUCAUCUGGUAUUGAAAACUACGGUGGAUAGAGAUGGGCACGCGCAAGAUUAGAUAGUUGGUGAGGUAACGGCUCACCAAGUCAGCGAUCUUUAGGGGGCCUGAGAGGGUGAUCCCCCACACUGGUACUGAGACACGGACCAGACUCCUACGCGAGGCAGCAGUGAGGAAUAUUAGACAAUGGGUGAGAGCCUGAUCCAGCCAUCCCGCGUGAAGGACGACGGCCCUAUGGGUUGUAAACUUCUUUUGUAUAGGGAUAAACCUAGAUACGUGUAUCUAGCUGAAGGUACUAUACGAAUAAGCACCGGCUAACUCCGUG